UUUGCCAAACUAAUUCCAAAUGGAAUGCAGAACUAGAAGCAGAUGCAUUGAGUUGCCAUGGUUUUUUCGAAGCCUCUAAAAGAGGUUUACCCACCCAACUACCCCAGUAUGGCCACCAGGUGAAUAAGUUCUCCUCACAGCUGUUAAAAGAGUGUCAUUGUAUGAAGCAACCAGGUUGUGUGCCAUGCUGAAGGAUACAUUUAAACUACACUUCUACAUAAAGAAUACAAACCAUUCUCUUAUUCAUUCUAUAAACGUUGUGAAGGCACUACGUAAUUUCUCUUUGUCAAAGCUUUAUCAGAAAGAUCUGCCAUCAAAGUACAAACUAAAUUAAUUUCUAUGUCAUCGGGACUUUUAGUGUGAAGCUGUGAUUCAUCUGGCCACGCCUGUCUGGGAUUGACCCAACUCCCUUCCCUUACAGGCUAGACUGGUCCGGUCACUAACUGAUCCAGCCCGUCUGGCGCGGUUAAUAUCUCCGGUCACAAUCAAAAGUACACAACAGACA